rnacentral:rRNA from 1 species
AUUAAACGCUGGCGGCAUGCCUUACACAUGCAAGUCGAACGGUAGCGCGGGGCAACCUGGCGACGAGUGGCGAACGGGUGAGUAAAGCAUCGGAACGUGCCCUGGAAUGGGGGAUAACGUAGCGAAAGUUACGCUAAUACCGCAUAUUCUGUGAGCAGGAAAGCAGGGGAUCGCAAGACCUUGCGUUCUGGGAGCGGCCGAUGUCGGAUUAGCUAGUUGGUGGGGUAAAAGCCUACCAAGGCGACGAUCCGUAGCGGGUCUGAGAGGAUGAUCCGCCACACUGGGACUGAGACACGGCCCAGACUCCUACGGGAGGCAGCAGUGGGGAAUUUUGGACAAUGGGCGCAAGCCUGAUCCAGCCAUGCCGCGUGAGUGAAGAAGGCCUUC